UACGGAGGGGGCUAGCGUUGUUCGGAAUUACUGGGCGUAAAGCGCGCGUAGGCGGACCUGCAAGUCGGGGGUGAAAGCCCGAGGCUCAACCUCGGAACUGCCUUCGAUACUGCGGGUCUCGAGUCCGGGAGAGGUGAGUGGAAUUCCUAGUGUAGAGGUGAAAUUCGUAGAUAUUCGCAAGAACACCAGUGGCGAAGGCGGCUCACUGGCCCGUAACUGACGCUGAGGCACGAAAGCGUGGGGAGCAAACAGG
rnacentral:rRNA from 1 species